rnacentral:rRNA from 1 species
UACAGAGGUGGCAAGCGUUGUUCGGAAUUACUGGGCGUAAAGGGCGCGUAGGCGGCCAUCUAAGUCAGACGUGAAAUCCCCCGGCUUAACCUGGGAACUGCGUCUGAUACUGGACGGCUUGAGUAUGGGAGAGGGAUGUAGAAUUCCAGGUGUAGCGGUGAAAUGCGUAGAUAUCUGGAGGAACACCGGUGGCGAAGGCGGCAUCCUGGACCGGUAUUGACACUGAGGCGCGAAAGCCAGGGGAGCAAACGGG